UUGACCUACGAUAGUAUGACCACUUGCAGUAAGAUUGCUAGAGUUUAACUGAUACUUAAACAUGAUCUCAAUGAGUCCUUGUAGUGAAUGUUGGUGAUGGUUGAUCUACUAUAAGAGUAAGAUAUGCAACUAGAUGAAAUCUAUCGACCUUAAUAGAGAGGAAUAGUCCUAUGAGAUUUGAAAGGCUAAGUACGAGAGUCUGUAGCUACAGUAGUAUGAUUGAUAGAAAAGAGUUUCUAUGGAGAUC
rnacentral:lncRNA from 1 species